rnacentral:rRNA from 1 species
UUAAGCGAAUAAGCGUACACGGUGGAUGCCUAGGCAAUCAGAGGCGAUGAAGGACGUGCUAAUCUGCGAAAAGCGUCGGUAAGGUGAUAUGAACCGUUAUACCCGACGAUAUCCGAAUGGGGAAACCCAGUAUCCAAUGGAUACUAUCAUUAACUGAAUCCAUAGGUUAAUGAGGCGAACCGGGAGAACUGAAACAUCUCAGUACCCCGAGGAAAAGAAAUCAACCGAGAUUCCCCUAGUAGCGGCGAGCGAACGGGGAGCAGCCCAGAGUCUUAAUCAAUAACAGUGUCAGGAGAACGGUCUGGAAAGUCCGGCAGUAAAGGGUGAUAGCCCCGUAUCUGAAGAUGCUGUUAUUGUGAACUCGACGAGUAGGGCGGGACACGUGUUAUCCUGUCUGAAUAUGGGGGGACCAUCCUCCAAGGCUAAAUACUCCUGAUUGACCGAUAGUGAACCAGUACCGUGAGGGAAAGGCGAAAAGAACCCCGGCGAGGGGAGUGAAAAAGAACCUGAAACCGUGUACGUACAAGCAGUAGGAGCCUCUUUAUGGGGUGACUGCGUACCUUUUGUAUAAUGGGUCAGCGACUUAUAUUCUGUAGCAAGGUUAACCGUAUAGGGGAGCCGUAGGGAAACCGAGUCUUAACUGGGCGAAUGAGUUGCAGGGUAUAGACCCGAAACCCGGUGAUCUAUCCAUGGGCAGGUUGAAGGUUGGGUAACACUAACUGGAGGACCGAACCGACUAAUGUUGAAAAAUUAGCGGAUGACUUGUGGAUGGGGGUGAAAGGCCAAUCAAACCGGGAGAUAGCUGGUUCUCCCCGAAAGCUAUUUAGGUAGCGCCUCGUGAACUCAUCUUCGGGGGUAGAGCACUGUUUCGACUAGGGGGUCAUCCCGACUUACCAACUCGAUGCAAACUGCGAAUACCGAAGAAUGUUAUCACGGGAGACACACGGCGGGUGCUAACGUCCGUCGUGAAGAGGGAAACAACCCAGACCGCCAGCUAAGGUCCCAAAGUCAUGGUUAAGUGGGAAACGAAGUGGGAAGGCUCAGACAGCCAGGAUGUUGGCUUAGAAGCAGCCAUCAUUUAAAGAAAGCGUAAUAGCUCACUGGUCGAGUCGGCCCGCGCGGAAGAUGUAACGGGGCUAAACCAUGCACCGAAGCUGCGGCAGCGACACAAAGUGUUGUUGGGUAGGGGAGCGUUCUGUAAGCCUGCGAAGGUGUACUGUGAGGUAUGCUGGAGGUAUCAGAAGUGCGAAUGCUGACAUAAGUAACGAUAAUGCGGGUGAAAAACCCGCACGCCGGAAGACCAAGGGUUCCUGUCCAACGUUAAUCGGGGCAGGGUGAGUCGACCCCUAAGGCGAGGCUGAAAAGCGUAGUCGAUGGGAAACGGGUUAAUAUUCCCGUACUGGUGGUAACUGCGAUGGGGGAACGGAGAAGGCUAGGUUGUCCGGGCGACGGUCGUCCCGGUUCAAGCAGGUAGGCAGAGUGACUAGGCAAAUCCGGUCACUUAAUGCUGAGAUGUGAUGACGAACCACCAAGGUGGUGAAGCAAUUGAUGCCCCGCUUCCAGGAAAAGCCUCUAAGCUUCAGGUUACCAACAAUCGUACCCCAAACCGACACAGGUGGUCAGGUAGAGAAUACUCAGGCGCUUGAGAGAACUCGGGUGAAGGAACUAGGCAAAAUGGUGCCGUAACUUCGGGAGAAGGCACGCUGGCGGUAGGUAAAGUCCCUCGCGGACGGCGCUGAAGCCAGUCGAAGAUACCAGCUGGCUGCAACUGUUUAUUAAAAACACAGCACUGUGCAAACACGAAAGUGGACGUAUACGGUGUGACGCCUGCCCGGUGCUGGAAGGUUAAUUGAUGGGGUCAGCCGCAAGGCGAAGCUCCUGAUCGAAGCCCCAGUAAACGGCGGCCGUAACUAUAACGGUCCUAAGGUAGCGAAAUUCCUUGUCGGGUAAGUUCCGACCUGCACGAAUGGCGUAAUGAUGGCCAGGCUGUCUCCACCCGAGACUCAGUGAAAUUGAACUCGCUGUGAAGAUGCAGUGUACCCGCGGCAAGACGGAAAGACCCCGUGAACCUUUACUAUAGCUUGACACUGAACAUUGAGCCUUGAUGUGUAGGAUAGGUGGGAGGCUUUGAAGUGUGGACGCCAGUCUGCAUGGAGCCAACCUUGAAAUACCACCCUUUAACGUUUGAUGUUCUAACCUAGGCCCAUAAACUGGGUCGGGGACCGUGUCUGGUGGGUAGUUUGACUGGGGCGGUCUCCUCCUAAAGAGUAACGGAGGAGCACGAAGGUUGGCUAAGCAUGGUCGGACAUCAUGCGGUUAGUGCAAAGGCAUAAGCCAGCUUGACUGCGAGAGUGACGGCUCGAGCAGGUACGAAAGUAGGUCUUAGUGAUCCGGUGGUUCUGAAUGGAAGGGCCAUCGCUCAACGGAUAAAAGGUACUCCGGGGAUAACAGGCUGAUACCGCCCAAGAGUUCAUAUCGACGGCGGUGUUUGGCACCUCGAUGUCGGCUCAUCACAUCCUGGGGCUGAAGUAGGUCCCAAGGGUAUGGCUGUUCGCCAUUUAAAGUGGUACGCGAGCUGGGUUUAGAACGUCGUGAGACAGUUCGGUCCCUAUCUGCCGUGGGCGUUGGAAGAUUGAGAGGGGUUGCUCCUAGUACGAGAGGACCGGAGUGAACGCACCACUGGUGUUCGGGUUGUCAUGCCAAUGGCAUUGCCCGGUAGCUAAGUGCGGAAGAGAUAACCGCUGAAAGCAUCUAAGCGGGAAACUUGCCUCGAGAUGAGUCUUCCCUGUCGCUUUAAGUGACCUAAAGGAACGUUUAAGACUAAGACGUUGAUAGGCUGGGUGUGUAAGCGUAGCGAUACGUUGAGCUAACCAGUACUAAUGAACCGUGAGGCUUAACCUG